rnacentral:rRNA from 1 species
AGUGAACGCUGGCGGUAGGCCUAACACAUGCAAGUCGAACGGCGGCACUGUAAGAGCUUGCUCUUACGGGUGGCGAGUGGCGGACGGGUGAGGAAUACAUCGGAGUCUACUUUUUCGUGGGGGAUAACGUAGGGAAACUUACGCUAAUACCGCAUACGACCUACGGGUGAAAGCAGGGGAUCUUCGGACCUUGCGCGAUUGAAUGAGCCGAUGUCGGAUUAGCUAGUUGGCGGGGUAAAGGCCCACCAAGGCGACGAUCCGUAGCUGGUCUGAGAGGAUGAUCAGCCACACUGGAACUGAGACACGGUCCAGACUCCUACGGGAGGCAGCAGUGGGGAAUAUUGGACAAUGGGCGCAAGCCUGAUCCAGCCAUACCGCGUGGGUGAAGGAGGCCUUCGGGUUGUAAAGCCCUUUUGUUGGGAAAGAAAAGCAGCAGGUUAAUACCCCGCUGUUCUGACGGUACCCAAAGAAUAAGCACCGGCUAACUUCGUG